rnacentral:rRNA from 1 species
GACGAACGCUGGCGGCGUGCUUAACACAUGCAAGUCGAACGGAAAGGCCCUGUUUUUGUGGGGUGCUCGAGUGGCGAACGGGUGAGUAACACGUGAGUAACCUCCCCUUUUCUUUGGGAUACCUUCAUGAAACUGGGGCUCAUACCGGACAGGAGCUCCUGCUGCACGGUGGGGGUUGGAAAGUUUCGGCGGUUUGGGAUGGACUCGCGGGUCAUCAGCUUGUUGGUGGGGUAGUGGCUUACCAUGGCUUUGACGGGUAGCUGGACUGCGAGGGUGACCGGGCACAUUGGGACUGAGGUGGGAGCCGGAGUGAUACGGGAGGCAGGAGUGGAGGAUAGAGCAAGAUGGGCGGAGGCCUGGUGCAGGGACGCCGCGUCGGGGAUGACGGCCUGCGGGUAGGAAACCGCGUUCGCUUGUAAAGAGGAGUAAGUGACGGUAACGGGUAAAGAAGCACCGGCUAACUACGUG